UGGGGGAUCGUCUAAUGGUAGGACGUUGCACUCUGGAUGCAAUAAUUGGGGUUCAAGUCCCUGUCCCCCAGCCA
rnacentral:tRNA from 1 species